rnacentral:rRNA from 1 species
UGGGGAAUAUUGGACAAUGGGCGCAAGCCUGAUCCAGCCAUGCCGCGUGUGUGAAGAAGGCCUUUUGGUUGUAAAGCACUUUAAGCGAGGAGGAGGCUACUUGGAUUAAUACUCUAGGAUAGUGGACGUUACUCGCAGAAUAAGCACCGGCUAACUCUGUGCCAGCAGCCGCGGUAAUACAGAGGGUGCGAGCGUUAAUCGGAUUUACUGGGCGUAAAGCGUGCGUAGGCGGCUUUUUAAGUCGGAUGUGAAAUCCCUGAGCUUAACUUAGGAAUUGCAUUCGAUACUGGGAAGCUAGAGUAUGGGAGAGGAUGGUAGAAUUCCAGGUGUAGCGGUGAAAUGCGUAGAGAUCUGGAGGAAUACCGAUGGCGAAGGCAGCCCUCUGGCCUAAUACUGACGCUGAGGUACGAAAGCAUGGGGAGCAAACAGG